AUGUAUGAAACGAAUAAAAAUUUGAACAACCUUAUAACUAAAAGUGAGAUUGCAAAGAUGGAAGAAAGGCGUUUUCAAGGGGGACAAAAUGACUUAUUGAAGAGUGGUGAGAAUAAAUUGUUGCAGAGUAGUGAGGACAACGAUCAGCAUGGAUUUUUAAGUAACGAACAGGAUUACCUUCUCCAAAAUGGGCAACAUGAAUUGUUAUAUAAUGAACAGAACGGACAGAAUGGACAGUUAUAUAAUGAACAAAAUGGACAGUUAUAUAAGGAACAUAAUGGACAGUUAUAUAANNNNNNNNNNGGACAGUUAUAUAAGGAACAUAAUGGACAGUUAUAUAAUGAACAUAUAGGACAGUUAUAUAAUGAACAGAAUGGCUUACUACAAAACGGAAAACAUAACUUACUACCAAACAAACGGAAACAACAAGAUAUGACGCAUAAUCUAAAACCAACGAUGUACAACCAAAAAGAUGUAAACAGUUUUAAAUAUGAACAAAAUAAAUUAAAAAAAAUUAUUUUUUCAGAUGUAAAAGACUUAUUAAACAUAUUAGAUACCCAAAGCAGUGCUAGCUUGGUGAAUAAAAACAAAAUCGACGAAUCAAUAGAAAAGGAAAAAACGGACAAGACAAAAACGGACAAGGAAAAAACGGAAAAGGAAAAAACGGACAAGACAAAAACGGACAAGGAAAAAACGGAAAAGGAAAAAACGGAAAAGGAAAAAACGGAAAAGGAAAAAACGGAAAAGGAGCAAAUAGAUAAACAAAAUAUGGCGAAACAAAAUAUGGAGAAACAAAAUAUGGCGAAACAAAAUAUGGAGAAACAAAAUAUGGAGAAACAAAAUAUGGAGAAACAAAAUAUGGAGAAACAAAUUAUGGGGAAACAAAUUAUGGGGAAGGAAAAAAUUAAAAAAGAUUUUGUUGUACCGGGUACUGCUGUUAGUAAGAAAGUAUCAAUAAUAAAAAAUGAACUAAAUGAAGAAAAGAAAAAAAAAAAUUAUUUGAUAGUAAAAAAAUAG
rnacentral:lncRNA from 1 species